rnacentral:rRNA from 1 species
UCCAGACUCCUACGGGAGGCAGCAGUGGGGGAUAUUGCACAAUGGGGGGAACCCUGAUGCAGCGACGCCGCGUGGGUGAAGGAGCGUUUCGGCGCGUAAAGCCCUAUCGGCAGGGAAGAAGGAGGACGGUACCUGACUAAGAAGCCCCGGCUAACUACGUGCCAGCAGCCGCGGUAAUACGUAGGGGGCAAGCGUUAUCCGGAUUUACUGGGUGUAAAGGGGGCGCAGACGGCAGCGCAAGCCAGGAGUGAAAGCCCGGGGCCCAACCCCGGGACUGCUCUUGGAACUGCGCGGCUGGAGUGCAGGAGGGGCAGGCGGAAUUCCUGGUGUAGCGGUGAAAUGCGUAGAUAUCAGGAGGAACACCGGUGGCGAAGGCGGCCUGCUGGACUGCGACUGACGUUGAGGCCCGAAAGCGUGGGGAGCAAACAGGAUUAGAUACCCCGGUAG